CCCUCUAGCUAACUAUGGAAUUUCCAAGGGUCAUUCCUGUUUCUCUUCUUUCUCCAGGAAGUCCUGCCUGGUUAGUUUUGCAGAAAGUUGUGAGAGUUGUUGAGCAAUGUUGGAGCCACCGAUUUGGGGCUCAGAGUGCAGGGCCCUCCUGUUGCACAGCUGCAGGACCAUUAUUCACACGUGGCACCCCUGAGUCUGUGCACUGUACAGUCCUGUGGAGCAAGGUUCUUCACCAGGAAGUUGAUACCUCACCCUGCUGCUGCCCAGCUUGCUGAUUCUGCUCCCACAGGCACCAUUGGAAUCUUUUGGAGUUCACCUGGCUAGGGGAGAGGACGUUGUGAAAUUCUGGAAUUGCUGCAGAAACUUGAAGACAUGGAAAAUGCAAACUCCUUACUUGGUCUGUCCUGUCUCCUGCCAAUGUGGUCUGACAGGGCCUGUGGGUGUACUGAUGCCAGAUAUGAGCCAACUAAAUAAAUCUCUAAGAGAGUAAAAGAAAAGCACUCUUGCACUUUCCUUUUGUUGUCUGUACAAAAGCCACUCUGGGUAUGUGUAUAGUGUCA
rnacentral:lncRNA from 1 species